rnacentral:rRNA from 1 species
UAGGGAAUCUUCCACAAUGGACGCAAGUCUGAUGGAGCAACACCGCGUGAGUGAAGAAGGGUUUCGGCUCGUAAAGCUCUGUUGUUAAAGAAGAACAUAUCUGAGAGUAACUGUUCAGGUAUUGACGGUAUUUAACCAGAAAGCCACGGCUAACUACGUGCCAG